AUCUCUUGUAUUUCGUCAUUGAUUUCAAUUUCUCAGGUUUUUUCAUGUUUUCAUUCAUUGAUCAUGACUCGUUUGGGAUUCUAGGGUUUGGAUAAGAAUUUUUUUAGGUUUUCACUGCAAAUUCAUGCAAGAAUUGAGUCUAAUUGGAAAAUUUGGAUCAUCUGUUUGCCCAGCAUAUGUUCUUGUGAUCAUAUUUGAUGUAAAUUCAGUGAGACAUGUUCUUGGGGUGUGGAUUUUAGUUUUUCACUGCAAAUGCAUUCAAGAAUUGAGUUUAAUUCGAGAAUUUGGUACUCUAUGUUCCCGACCUGUGUUCUUGUGAUCAUGUUUGAUAUGAAAUUCCCUGAAACAUGCUCUCCAGGGUCCUGAUUUUGGUUUUGUUUAUUUAUGCGUUUGAAUUUCUAAUUUUCUAUGAAUCAAUUUUUAAAUGUGUUGAUUAAUUUUUUAAGUAGAAUAUGAUCAUUGAGCAUUAAUAGUAUAUCAUGCCAUAGUUCUAGUUUUGUAUUAUCCGUUGAUGAAUUGGAAGUUGUGUUAGUUGUGCCUUGGGUGAAUGAGAAAACAAAAGCAUGAAUAAUUGACUUUGAGAAUCGAAACCUUAGACUUAUUUGUGCUUUGGAAGAUAAUGGUUCAGAGAUGAAGUUGAUGAUAAAAUUGAUGUGAAUGGUGGUGAUCAUGAUAGCAUACUUGACAAUGAAGAAAUGGGGCAGGAUUACAGUGAGAGGAUUCGUAGAUGAAUAUGUAGAUAGAUAAUGCAGGUAUGAUGGUGAGGAGUAUGAAAUGUGUGCAAUGUGGAUGCGGCCAAUAAGAGGGAUGAGGGAUGAACAGAACCUUCUGAAUGAUAAUGUUGACAGGAGGAAGUGCAUAGAGUUGCUAUCUCUUUGGCUUCAUGACUUCAUGGUUCUCAAGUAACUAUUUCUGGAUGUCUACAUGACUCACAAUAGAGGAUUUGUGAGGGCUUUGUGAAAGCUUUUGGUGAAUUUUUUGUGGUUACAGUAGAUUUGUCACUCAGCUCCUGUUUUGAUAUGUAUGUUUUGUCUGUCAAUAUUUAGUCUGUAUGUUGUGGUAAUGAGCAGGAGAGGAUGAUGAAGGAUAAGGGGAGAGGAGAAUGUGAGGGAUGCAACCCAAAAGGCUAGUUAAGAGGUCCAUGGCAAAUAAUUCAAGUGCAUAUGAGGAGAUUAAGCUUGAGAUUAAGCUUAUACAUCUUCUCACCUGCGAUGUAGUAAAGAACUACUUGUGGUAGGAAGACUUAAAAAGUACAAGCCCAGCUAUCGAGAUUUGCAGGAUUGUACAACAACAAGAAUGUUGUAAGCUCAUUAUCCUGCCAGUGGUGUUGAUGCAAAGAACGCCAGAGCACCAACCAUUGGUGCAUUUAUCUAUCUUUAUUAUCAGGGCCGCCUAAAACAGCACCGGUGAGGAUGUUUGGGUUCGGUGAGCUUGAGUAGAGGUAUGAGAAGCCUUCAUUACAGGAGAUGUGGCUUGGGUGAGCAUGCACAGAAGGAAUUGAAGAGCCCCGG